rnacentral:tRNA from 1 species
GCCUCCUUAGCUCAGUUGGUAGAGCAGUGGACUCUUAAUCCAUGGGUCGCAGGUUCGAGCCCUGCAGGGGGCA